AGGUAGCGCCUCGUGAAUUCAUCUCCGGGGGUAGAGCACUGUUUCGGCAAGGGGGUCAUCCCGACUUACCAACCCGAUGCAAACUGCGAAUACCGGAGAAUGUUAUCACGGGAGACACACGGCGGGUGCUAACGUCCGUCGUGAAGAGGGAAACAACCCAGACCGCCAGCUAAGGUCCCAAAGUCAUGGUUAAGUGGGAAACGAUGUGGGAAGGCCCAGACAGCCAGGAUGUUGGCUUAGAAGCAGCCAUCAUUUAAAGAAAGCGUAAUAGCUCACUGGUCGAGUCGGCCUGCGCGGAAGAUGUAACGGGGCUAAACCAUGCACCGAAGCUGCGGCAGCGACGCUUAUGCGUUGUUGGGUAGGGGAGCGUUCUGUAAGCCUGUGAAGGUGUGCUGUGAGGCAUGCUGGAGGUAUCAGAAGUGCGAAUGCUGACAUAAGUAACGAUAAAGCGGGUGAAAAGCCCGCUCGCCGGAAGACCAAGGGUUCCUGUCCAACGUUAAUCGGGGCAGGGUGAGUCGACCCCUAAGGCGAGGCCGAAAGGCGUAGUCGAUGGGAAACAGGUUAAUAUUCCUGUACUUGGUGUUACUGCGAAGGGGGGACGGAGAAGGCUAUGUUGGCCGGGCGACGGUUGUCCCGGUUUAAGCGUGUAGGCUGGUUUUCCAGGCAAAUCCGGAAAAUCAAGGCUGAGGCGUGAUGACGAGGCACUACGGUGCUGAAGCAACAAAUGCCCUGCUUCCAGGAAAAGCCUCUAAGCAUCAGGUAACAUCAAAUCGUACCCCAAACCGACACAGGUGGUCAGGUAGAGAAUACCAAGGCGCUUGAGAGAACUCGGGUGAAGGAACUAGGCAAAAUGGUGCCGUAACUUCGGGAGAAGGCACGCUGAUAUGUAGGUGAAGUCCCUCGCGGAUGGAGCUGAAAUCAGUCGAAGAUACCAGCUGGCUGCAACUGUUUAUUAAAAACACAGCACUGUGCAAACACGAAAGUGGACGUAUACGGUGUGACGCCUGCCCGGUGCCGGAAGGUUAAUUGAUGGGGUCAGCGCAAGCGAAGCUCUUGAUCGAAGCCCCGGUAAACGGCGGCCGUAACUAUAACGGUCCUAAGGUAGCGAAAUUCCUUGUCGGGUAAGUUCCGACCUGCACGAAUGGCGUAAUGAUGGCCAGGCUGUCUCCACCCGAGACUCAGUGAAAUUGAACUCGCUGUGAAGAUGCAGUGUACCCGCGGCAAGACGGAAAGACCCCGUGAACCUUUACUAUAGCUUGACACUGAACAUUGAGCCUUGAUG
rnacentral:rRNA from 1 species